GGACCCCACAAUUUAUAAAAUCUAUUUCAUGUGGAUUCUUUGCUAACCUUUUGUGACUUUCAUCUGUAUCUGGAUUGGAUUGUCAUGCAUUGUUUUUGUCCCUGGCAUUUCAUUUUUCACUCUACACAUAUACAUGAUGUACUGAUCUAAUAGAUUUUGUCUGUGCAUUAUUAUCUUCUAGAUGAAACUGUCAGUGAUGUUUGGAUAUAUAAUAAGUAUUCGCAUUCAGUGAGCUAUAUGUACCAUUGUCUUGUUUGUAUGAUUAGGAAUUGACUAGUUCAGUUGUACGAGUACUUCUGAAUUAGAGUUUAAUAGAUGAACAUAUACCUGGAAUUUUGUUUUUUCUUUCCUACAAUAAAAACCAAAAGAUUGAUCUUGGUAUUUCUUUUCCCAUACAAAUCUGACUGAUUGGUUAAGCUAAUGAGAACGUUAUCUGUGCAGCUUCUUGAUCUCAAGGAUAGUA
rnacentral:misc_RNA from 1 species